AUUGAACGCUGGCGGCAGGCCUAACACAUGCAAGUCGAGCGGAUGAAGGGAGCUUGCUCCUGGAUUCAGCGGCGGACGGGUGAGUAAUGCCUAGGAAUCUGCCUGGUAGUGGGGGAUAACGUCCGGAAACGGGCGCUAAUACCGCAUACGUCCUGAGGGAGAAAGUGGGGGAUCUUCGGACCUCACGCUAUCAGAUGAGCCUAGGUCGGAUUAGCUAGUUGGUGGGGUAAAGGCCUACCAAGGCGACGACCCGUAACUGGUCUGAGAGGAUGAUCAGUCACACUGGAACUGAGACACGGUCCAGACUCCUACGGGAGGCAGCAGUGGGGAAUGUUGGACAAUGGGCGAAAGCCUGAUCCAGCCAUGCCGCGUGUGUGAAGAAGGUCUUCGGAUUGUAAAGCACUUUAAGUUGGGAGGAAGGGCAGUAAGUUAAUACCUUGCUGUUUUGACGUUACCAACAGAAUAAGCACCGGCUAACUUCGUG
rnacentral:rRNA from 1 species